rnacentral:misc_RNA from 1 species
GAUGAAGAACGUAGCGAAAUGCGAUAAGUAAUGUGAAUUGCAGAAUUCAGUGAAUCAUCGAGUCUUUGAACGCACAUUGCGCCCCCUGGUAUUCCGGGGGGCAUGCCUGUCCGAGCGUCAUUGCUGCCCUCAAGCACGGCUUGUGUGUUGGGCCUCCGUCCUCCUCCCGGGGGACGGGCCCGAAAGGCAGCGGCGGCACCGCGUCCGGUCCUGGAGCGUAUGGGGCUUCGUCACCCGCUCUUGUAGGCCCGGCCGGCGCUUGCCGACACAUCAAUCUUUUUUCCAGGUUGACCUCGGAUCAGGUAGGGAUACCCGCUGAACUUAAGCAUAUCAAUAAGCGGAGGA